ACAAAUGAGAGUUUGAUCCUGGCUCAGAACGAACGCUGGCGGCGUGCCUAACACAUGCAAGUCGAA
rfam:Nitrospirae bacterium GWB2_47_37 gwb2_scaffold_5528, whole genome shotgun sequence.